GUGAAUCAUCAAAUCUUUGAACGCAAAUUGCGCCUUUUUCGGAAGGCAUGUCUGUUUGAGGGCACCAUUUAGCAAAUAAUGUGCAGCGUUUUUUGUUACACACGUUGAUGAGCUUUCCAAAUUUAUGUAUUAUUUUUGGUGGCGCAUAAUAAACAGCGCGAUGCUUUUUUUCAGUUCGAGUGUAGUAAAAUUUUUUCUUGCUUGGGUUGUGAAAAGCGUGAUCGCGCAAUGGGUGUGGCAAUUUUUUAUUAUCCCUGCCCCAAUGCCACUCUUUCUCACGAAAGAAUGUCUAAUCUUCAGG
rnacentral:misc_RNA from 1 species